AGUACAGUCUCUGUAAAAAUGCUUUCAUAUUAAACGGAUCUUUCUGAUACUAAACUAGUUAUUAGUGGACGUGUGAACUGCAAUGUAAACUGUAAUGUCACGUGUUUUGUUUUUUUGUCUCAGUCUGUAAUGAGUUAUUGUACACAACAGGUUUUUUUUGUGUUGUUGCUUUUACAUAUCUUUUAAUAUUAGUGUUGUGUAUACAUGGUUUGUUUUAUUUGAGUGAGCUAGACGGACUCCAGGAUUAACUGUAGUGUUAGUGAGGUGAAGUGCAUCACCAAACACCUUACAUGAACUGUUUAAUAGUCUGUGACAGAAAACCCCUUGUGCCCUCUACAGGACAAGGUGUGAAACAGGAACCAAUCAUGGCUGAACACUGCAAUGUUCUCCAAAAAAAAAAAAAAAAGAGUACAGAGGUACUUAAUGAGAAUUAGAAAGAGGAAGAAUUUGAGAGGAUUGUAGAUGAUCAUGAUGCUACUCUGAGAAACACCUUCACGUACUCAUGUAUCGUAAAGUUUUCUAACCUACAUGCUUUCCAUUUGAGUGUUGUAAAACCAGGAGACCAGCUAAGAGCCAAGGAAUAGGCCCUGGAGAGGAGUUUAUUGUUCCCGUCAUUAUCAUGAUUCCUAUGCAGCUCUGACCUCGACUCAAAGAAACCACACGGAUGAUUUAGGAAGGGGCAAAAGAAGGACAUGAGCAUGGAUCUAGUUUCAAACAGACCAUAUGAACCAGAUCCAAACACUUCGUGUAAACCUCCCUAUUUGGACAGUGUUUCUUUCUCAGGAUGGCGUCUGUAGUGAAAUAUCAUCUCCACAUCUCCUCUGUGAUAAAUCUCUUGACUCCAAGUGAAGACUGUCUGUAGGCAAACUGAUGUGAACCACAGCAAGUGUAUUUUAAACACUUCAAAAAAGCAUCCAUCACUGCAUGUGUGUCUUUUCAAACAAAAUACACAGGACUGGUGUGAGUUUCUGGACUAGAUUAAAAAUGUGAUGGGGUUUUGUUGCUGGCAAUUAAAAUGAAAUGAAACCUGUCCGAGAUUCCAGAUAUCAUUAGAAUCUGUGCAACUAAGGUACAGUAUAUGCUUUUCUUUGUUUUUUUUGUUGAUGUAUAGUAAAAUACCAUGGAGAUGCCAAAACAG